rnacentral:rRNA from 1 species
UCAUAUGCUUGUCUCAAAGAUUAAGCCAUGCAUGUCUCAGUGCAAGCCAAAUUAAGGUGAAACCGCGAAUGGCUCAUUACAUCAGUUAUGGUUCCUUAGAUCGUACCCACAUUUACUUGGAUAACUGUGGUAAUUCUAGAGCUAAUACAUGCAAAUAGAUUUCCGACCAGAGAUGGAAGGAAUGCUUUUAUUAGAUCAAAACCAAUCGGUAACGGGUACUUUAUUGGACUUUGUUUACCGUUUGACUUGGUGACUCUGAAUAACUUUCUGCUGAUCGCACGGUCUAGUACCGGCGACACAUCUUUCAAAUGUCUGCCUUAUCAACUGUCGAUGGUAGUAUAUGCGACUACCAUGGUUGUUACGGGUAACGGGGAAUCAGGGUUCGAUUCCGGAGAGGGAGCCUGAGAAACGGCUACCACAUCCAAGGAAGGCAGCAGGCGCGCAAAUUAUCCACUCUCAGAACGAGGAGAUAGUGACGAAAAAUAACGAUACGGGACUCAUCCGAGGCCCCGUAAUCGGAAUGAGUACACUUUAAAUCCUUUAACAAGGAUCAAUUGGAGGGCAAGUCUGGUGCCAGCAGCCGCGGUAAUUCCAGCUCCAAUAGCGUAUAUUAAAGUUGUUGCGGUUAAAAAGCUCGUAGUUGAAUUUGUGUCCCACACUGUUGGUACACCGCUCGCGGUGUCUAACUGACAUGUCUAGUGGGACGUCCUACCGGUGGGUUUUGCCCGUAAAAAGGCGACCCAACUUAAAAUCCUAUCACGUUGCUCUUAAACGAGUGUCGGGAUGGGCCGGUACGUUUACUUUGAACAAAUUAGAGUGCUUAAAGCAGGCUAAAUAUUGCCUGAAUAUUGUGUGCAUGGAAUAAUGGAAUAGGACCUCGUUUCUAUUUUGUUGGUUUUCGGAAUACCGAGGUAAUGAUUAAUAGGGACAACUGGGGGCAUUCGUAUUGCGACGUUAGAGGUGAAAUUCUUGGAUCGUCGCAAGACGGACAUAAGCGAAAGCAUUUGCCAAAUGUGUUUUCAUCAAUCAAGAACGAAAGUUAGAGGUUCGAAGGCGAUCAGAUACCGCCCUAGUUCUAACCAUAAACGAUGCCAGCUAGCGAUCCGCCAAAGUUCCUCCGAUGACUUGGCGGGCAGCUUCCGGGAAACCAAAGCUUUUGGGUUCCGGGGGAAGUAUGGUUGCAAAGCUGAAACUUAAAGGAAUUGACGGAAGGGCACCACCAGGAGUGGAGCCUGCGGCUUAAUUUGACUCAACACGGGAAACCUCACCAGGCCCAGACACUGGAAGGAUUGACAGAUUAAGAGCUCUUUCUUGAUUCAGUGGGUGGUGGUGCAUGGCCGUUCUUAGUUGGUGGAGCGAUUUGUCUGGUUAAUUCCGAUAACGAACGAGACUCUAGCCUACUAAAUAGGCGUACUUUCCAGUAUCUUGAAGGCCCACCAUAUUAUAUUAUCCCCUUGAUUUCGGUCAUUGGGUGAUUUUUGUGUGUGUGGUUUUUACUACUGGCGUACAAACAAUUCUUCUUAGAGGGACAGGCGACAUUUAGUCGCAUGAGAUUGAGCAAUAACAGGUCUGUGAUGCCCUUAGAUGUUCUGGGCCGCACGCGCGCUACACUGAAGGAAUCAGCGUGUCCUCCCUGUCCGAAAGGACCGGGUAACCCGUUGAAACUCCUUCGUGCUAGGGAUUGGGGCUUGCAAUUAUUCCCCAUGAACGAGGAAUUCCCAGUAAACGCGAGUCAUAAGCUCGCAUUGAUUACGUCCCUGCCCUUUGUACACACCGCCCGUCGCUACUACCGAUUGAAUGAUUUAGUGAGGUCUUCGGACUGGUGCGCGGCAGUGUUUCGGCACUGCUGUUGUUGCUGGGAAGAUGACCAAACUUGAUUAUUUAGAGGAAGUAAAAGUCGUAACAAGGUUUCC